rnacentral:rRNA from 1 species
GACGAACCGUGCGAACGUUAUUCGGAAUCAUUGGGCUUAAAGGGCGCGUAGGCGGCGGUGUAAGUUGGAAGUGAAAUCCCAUCGGCUCAACCGUGGAAUUGCUCCCAGUACUGCAUCGCUCGAGGGGGAUAGGGGUUUGCGGAACUACCGGUGGAGCGGUGAAAUGUGUUGAUAAUCGGUGGGAACGCCAGUGGCGAAAGCG